UACAGAGGUCUCAAGCGUUGUUCGGAUUCAUUGGGCGUAAAGGGUGCGUAGGCGGCGCGGUAAGUCGGGUGUGAAAUCUCGGAGCUUAACUCCGAAACUGCAUUCGAUACUGCCGUGCUUGAGGACUGGAGAGGAGACUGGAAUUUACGGUGUAGCGGUGAAAUGCGUAGAUAUCGGAAGGAAGACCAGUGGCGAAGGCGAAUCUCUGGACAGUUACUGACGCUGAGGCACGAAAGCCAGGGGAGCAAACGGG
rnacentral:rRNA from 1 species